rnacentral:rRNA from 1 species
AAGCCUGAUCCCGCAAUGCCGCGUGCAGGAUGAAGGCCUUCGGGUUGUAAACUGCUUUGGUACGGAACGAAAAGCCUCUCUCUAAUACAGGGGGGUGAUGACGGUACCGUAAGAAUAAGCACCGGCUAACUACGUGCCAGCAGCCGCGGUGAUACGUAGGGUGCGAGCGUUGUCCGGAAUUAUUGGGCGUAAAGAGCUUGUAGGCGGUCCGUCACGUCGGAAGUGAAAACUCAGGGCUUAACCCUGAGCCUGCUUUCGAUACGAGCAGGCUUGAGGGAUGUAGGGGAGAGCGGAAUUCCUGGUGGAGCGCUGGAAUGCGCAGAUAUCAGGAGGAACACCAGUGGCGAAGGCGGUUCUCUGGACAUUUCCUGACGCUGAGAGGCGAAAGCGUGGGGAGCAAACA